rnacentral:rRNA from 1 species
GGAGGAUCCAAGCGUUACCCGGAAUUACUGGGCGUAAAGAGUAGCGUAGGCGGUAUGCCAAGUUUUUGCUUAAAGACCAGGGCCCAACUCUGGGAAUGGCAAAAAAACUGGCAAACUAGAGGAAGAUAGAGGCGAGUGGAAUUUCCGGAGUAGGGGUGAAAUCCGUAGAUACCGGGAGGAACACCAAUGGCGUAGGCAGCUCGCUGGGUCUUUUCUGACGCUGAGGCACGAAAGCGUGGGUAGCGAACCGGAUUAGAUACCCGGGUAGUCCACGCCGUGAACGAUGGAUGCUAGCUGUUGGACGUAUCGACCCGUUCGGUAGCGAAGCUAACGCGUUAAGCAUCCCGCCUGGGGAGUACGAGCGCAAGCKKA